rfam:Neotoma lepida isolate 417 scaffold_765, whole genome shotgun sequence.
CCAAAGGCUCUUUUCAGAGCCACUUCAGCUCUCGAAGAAAGAGCUGU